ensembl:snRNA U6 U6 spliceosomal RNA
GUGCUUAGUUUGACAGCACAUAUACUAAAAUUGGAACGAUACGAAGAAGAUUAGCACGGCCUCUGUGCAAGGAUGACGUGCACAUUCGUGAAGCGUUCCAUAUAAGA